UCCUACGGGAGGCAGCAGUGGGGAAUAUUGGACAAUGGGCGAAAGCCUGAUCCAGCAAUGCCGCGUGAGUGAUGAAGGCCUUAGGGUUGUAAAGCUCUUUUACCCGAGAUGAUAAUGACAGUAUCGGGAGAAUAAGCUCCGGCUAACUCCGUGCCAGCAGCCGCGGUA
rnacentral:rRNA from 1 species